rnacentral:rRNA from 1 species
GAUGAACGCUGGCGGUAUGCUUAACACAUGCAAGUCGAACGGUACCUUCGGGUAUAGUGGCGGACGGGUGAGUAACGCGUGAGAAUCUGUCUUCAGGUCGGGGACAACAGUUAGAAAUGACUGCUAAUACCGGAUGUGCCGAGAGGUAAAAGAUUUAUUGCCUGAAAGAGAGCUCGCGUCAGAUUAGCUAGUAGGUGGUGUAAGAGACUACCUAGGCGACGAUCUGUAGCUGGUCUGAGAGGACGAUCAGCCACACUGGAACUGAGACACGGUCCAGACUCCUACGGGAGGCAGCAGUGGGGGAAUUUUCCGCAAUGGGCGAAAGCCUGACGGAGCAAUACCGCGUGAGGGACGAAGGCUUCUGGGUCGUAAACCUCUUUUAUCGGGGAAGAACACGGCCCUUGCGAGGGUCAUUGACGGUACUCGAGGGAUAAGCACCGGCUAACUCCGUGCCAGCAGCCGCGGUAAU